GCCCUAACCCUAACCAUUAUGAGGGCCCUAACCCUAACCCUAGCGCUUGAUGUAGCCCAAACCGUGGCCCUGACCCUAACCCUAACCGUCGCGCUAGCCCUAAACCCUAACCCUAGCGCUUGAUCUAGCCCCAACCGUGGCCCUAACCCUAAGCCUAACCCUAGCCCUAGCCUCGGAUUUGAACCCUAACCCUAAUACUGACCCUAACCCUAACCCUACUGGUCAGUUUAAGCCUAACCACAGGAGAAAUAUAAAUAUAUUAUUCAGAAUUAAAAACCAAACAGCGAUUAAAGGGUUAACAUUUUACAAACUAAAUAGAGUUGAAUUUAAACUAAAUAUCCGAGAGAAAUUCAGUUAAUUUCUUGUCCAAAGGGUAUAAAAGGGAAAACAGGACAUGUGUGCAUAGACCUGAUGAAGACCAAAUAAGGUCGAAACGUCGUCGCGAUGCACACCAAUUGUACAUAGUUCAUGUGUGUUCAUGUACCUGUUUGUCUGUUUGUUUGUGUGUUUGUGUGUACAAAAACAAUCAAUAACCUAAAAAAAGAGAUUAAUUAAACAACAAUCAUGUUACACAACACACUAAAACCAAAUUAAAUACAAACCUUAAACACAAAUUAGUGAUCCAUGGGGGCCGGGGGAGCGUGUCCGGUGGGCGAAGGCCCGUGCAUUCCCCGCUCCCCGCAGACCCAAGUAGGGUCACUAUAGGGGAGACGGGAUUAUUUCCCCUCACCUAACC